UACAGAGGGGGCAAGCGUUGUUCGGAAUUACUGGGCGUAAAGGGCGCGUAGGCGGACGCCUAAGUGUCUUGUGAAAUCCCCCGGCUCACCCGGGGAACUGCUGGGCAUACUGGGCGUCUUGGGCCAACUAGGGGCAACUGGAACAAGCGGUGGAGCGGUGAAAUGCGUAGAUAUCGCUUGGAACGCCGAAGGUGAAAACAGGUUGCUGGGGUUGUGCCGACGCUGAGACACGAAAGCCAGGGGAGCAAACGGG
rnacentral:rRNA from 1 species